AGAGAUUUUGAGGAUGGUAAAUUAGAUAUUCAUCGACUUAAUUUUGCUUUGAUUGUGUUGAUCCCAAAGGAGGUGAAUGCUAAAGACAUGAAGAACUUCAGACCCAUCAGUCUUAGUAAUUGUGCUAUUAAGAUUUUUACAAAAGCUAUGACUAAUAGAUUUUCCCCUAUCAGUCAUAGAAUGAUUUCUCCCAAUCAAACUGCUUUUAUCAAGGGCAGAUAUAUUCUUGAAAGUGUGGUCCUGGCACAUGAGGUUAUUCAUGGAGUUAAGAAAUCUGGUUCGCAAGGGCUUGUGCUCAAACUAGAUUAUGAAAAAGCAUAUGAUAGAGUAAGUUGGGACUUUCUUUUUGAAAUGCUUAGUUCUAGAGGUUUUGGGCAAAAAUGGAUUUCUUGGAUUAAAACAACUCUUUUGCAGAGUACAUUUAGUGUG
rnacentral:rRNA from 1 species